CGGGAUGUAGCGCAGCUUGGUAGCGCGCUUGGUUCGGGACCAAGAGGUCGCAGGUUCAAAUCCUGUCAUCCCGACCA
rnacentral:tRNA from 1 species